GGAGAACUUGAUGACUGUCGAGUUUGUUGUUCACCUAGAUAGUUUAAUUAUUAGAGAGCGGGCUGAACCUCGAUCAAAUCUGAGUUACCUGUUUUAGCCGUGUCAAGUGUCUGACAAGGAAGUUGGUGAUUCAAAUCACUCCUACAAUUGUUCUCAUCAAAUACUGGACGCACAAGCUUCCUACGCUUGAAUGGCUUAUCAGCUGAAUCCUUAGCCACUGCAGUUUGAGAACUGUUUCCUUGUGCAUUCUGAAGGACUGUGUGUUCAUUAGCAUUUGUCUCUUCUUCUUUGUUUAAUUUAACAGUACUCUGUUCUGAAGUUCGAUUCGUCUCCCUCCUGCGCUUGAAAUCCACCAUUCUGGUCUCUGCCAGAAUAUGGUUCAUGGUUUCUUCAAGAACUUCAUUUGCACUUCCUUUGAGAACUCUCAUCAUUGAAUCAGCAGUCUGCUCUGCAUCAUUCUUGACAACUGAAGCAUGUUUUCCUGACCUAUUAGUUUCACCAGAACCAACUUUUCGGAUAAAUGGUUUACGGUUCAAUGGCUUUUUUGGUACAAUUUUCUGAUCCUCGUAUAACGAGUCCAUGAUUUCAUCAACUGUUGUAUCCAUAUAAUAAUGUUCAUCGAAGCUCAUACUAUAAUCA
rnacentral:misc_RNA from 1 species